rnacentral:rRNA from 1 species
UACGUAGGGGGCUAGCGUUGUCCGGAAUCAUUGGGCGUAAAGCGCGUGUAGGCGGUCCGGUAAGUCCGCUGUGAAAGUCGAGGGCUCAACCUCGAAUGCCGGUGGAUACUGUCGGGCUUGAGUACGGGAGAGGCGAGUGGAAUUCCUGGUGUAGCGGUGAAAUGCGCAGAUAUCAGGAGGAACACCGAUUGCGAAGGCAGCUCGCUGGAACGUUACUGACGCUGAGACGCGAAAGCGUGGGGAGCAAACAGG